GCUUUCGUCGUUCAACGGAUAGGACACAAGAUUGCGGAUCUUGUAAUCCAGGUUCGAUUCCUGGCGAAAGCA
rnacentral:tRNA from 1 species